rnacentral:lncRNA from 1 species
UCAUGCAUUAUUAAAUUGAAAACAUAAAGAUGAGACGUGAACAUGUAUUUCAACAUAGAAAACAACAGCUAACAUUAAAGAGAAAGGGAAGAGGAAUAGCUAAGGCGGUUAUCCAUAAUCAUAUCACUAUAAGAAGAGAAAACAGUUGAACUGCAGGGUGUUAUCUGCGACUGCUCCUUGUGGCUUCCCAUGGUGGCUUUCCUCUUCAUCUUUACGUUAAAUCAUCAAUACACUCUCAAGUUAUUCUUUCUGAUUGCUCUCAUUUUCAACAAGAGUUUUGCCUUAUUUUGUGGCAAGCAAAAAGUUUAGCAAGCCAUAAGGAAACAAGAAUACUCAAUGUUUUCU